rnacentral:rRNA from 1 species
UACAGAGGGGGCAAGCGUUAUUCGGAAUCAUUGGGCGUAAAGAGCGUGUAGGCGGUCCGGUAAGUCCGCUGUGAAAGUCGGGGGCUCAACCCUCGAAUGCCGGUGGAUACUGUCGGGCUAGAGUGCGGAAGAGGCGAGUGGAAUUCCUGGUGUAGCGGUGAAAUGCGCAGAUAUCAGGAGGAACACCUAUUGCGAAGGCAGCUCGCUGGGACGUAACUGACGCUGAGACGCGAAAGCGUGGGGAGCAAACAGG